rnacentral:lncRNA from 1 species
CUAUUUUCUCUGCGAAAUUUUUGAGCAACCUUAUUCGGGACCUGCAAUUGCGUCUCACGGGAAUCAUGGUUCAGGACCCGCGGUCCUUUUUUGGGUCUAACUCCUGUUUCCCGCAGCUCAGAUUCUGUUGCUGCGGCUGCUCGCUAAGAACAGGCGUCCUGAUCAUAGGAUGGUACACUGUGGUAAUAGGUGUGUUUUCGAUGAUGGGAUCCUUGCCUGUUGUAAGAGGCCUAAACGACAGAUUUCUCACAACUGAGAGCCCAGAGCGAAAGCUGGCGAUAUUCGUGUGGGCAAUGGACUUCAUCAUCGAUGGAAUUCUACUCCGAGUCGCGGCCGCCAUUCUACUAUUUGGAGUGUAUAGUAGUAAACCGAGGUGUGUGCUUCUGUACCUUAUUGUGGCCGUUGUCAGCGCCGCAAAGCUAGGAAUUGAAAUUCCACUGGUUGCCCUUACGAACAUUGGCAAAGUGAAGGUUCAAUUUUCGUUUCUUGACGUUUUCGUGCCGUUGCUUCAACAUCCAGUGGCAUUAUUCUUUACUUUCAUGUUGACUCUUUACUUUAUCAUGGUGACCAACAGUUACUACACAGAAAUGGAGUCUGCCCCUCCAAGAAAUAAAUGUGGAACAGGAGAAACAGAAGACAGGACGCGUCACGCUUGA